rnacentral:lncRNA from 1 species
GGAAAGAUUCUUUGGAAAUCUAGGAAUGAGAAAGGGCAGCUGGGACAUGGUGACACCAAGAGAGUAGGAGCCCCCAGACUCAUCGAGGGCCUCAGCCACGAAGUGAUCAUGUCUGCAGCAUGUGGGCAGAACUACACCUUGGCCUUGAUGGAAAUGGGCUCCGUGUUUGCGUUUGGGGAGAACAAGAUGGGGCAGCUGGGCCUUGGCAACCUGACAGACACUAUCCCCAGCCCCGCACAGAUAAUAUACAAUGGCCAGCCAAUUACCAAAAUGGCCUUUGGGGCUGAAUUCAGUAUGAUAAUGGACUGCAAAGGAAACCUCUAUUCCUUUGGGUGCCAUGAAUAUGGUCAGCUGGGACACAACUCGGAUGGGAAGUUCAUCGCCCGGGCACGGCGGACAGAGUACAACUACAGACUGGUUCCCCAUUGAGUGACCAUCUUCAUUGAGGCAGAUCCUGCCUGUACCAAAUGUAGCUGUGUGAGACGUAGCCUGUGGCGCUAACCACACACUGGUCCUGGACUCCCAGAAGUGAGUCUUCUCCUGGGGCUUCAGUGGCUAUGGCCGGCUGGGCCACGCAGAGCAGGAUGAGAUGGUCCCCCACCUGGUGAAGCUGUUUGACUUCCCUGGACAUCGGGUGUCCCAGAUCUAUACUGGUUACACCUGCUCCUUUGCCAUCAGUGAAGUGGGUGGUCUGUUUUUCCAGGGGGCCACCAACACCUCCCGUGAAUCUACCACAUACCCAAAAGCAGUGCAGGACCUCUGUGGCUGGAUAAUCCAGAGCCUGGCUUGUGGGAAGAGCAGCAUCAUUGUGGCCACCGAGAGAGCACCAUAGCUGGGGCCCAUCACCGACCUUCGGGGAACUGGGCUAAGGGACCACAAGCCCAAGUCUUCCACUGCAGCCCAGGAGGUGAAGACUCUGGAUGGCAUUUUCUCAGAGGUCACCAUGGGCUACUCACACUCUUUGGUGACACCAAGAGACAAAAGUGAGACCGAGAAAGAGAAGAUCAAGAAACUACCAGAAUACAACCGCCAAACCCUUUGA